rnacentral:rRNA from 1 species
UACGAAGGGGGCUAGCGUUGCUCGGAAUGACUGGGCGUAAAGGGCGCGUAGGCGGAUGGCACAGUCAGAUGUGAAAUUCCCGGGCUUAACCUGGGGGCUGCAUUUGAUACGUGUGAUCUAGAGUGAGGAAGAGGGUCGUGGAAUUCCCAGUGUAGAGGUGAAAUUCGUAGAUAUUGGGAAGAACACCGGUGGCGAAGGCGGCGACCUGGUCCUUGACUGACGCUGAGGCGCGAAAGCAUGGGGAGCAAACAGG